GCUGAAAUAGUUUAAAGGUUAAAACCUGCCAUUCAUGACGGUAAAAUAAAAGUUCAAUUCUUUUUUUCAGCU
rnacentral:tRNA from 2 species